rnacentral:rRNA from 1 species
UACAGAGGGCGCGAGCGUUGUCCGGAAUCACUGGGCGUAAAGGGUGCGUAGGCGGGUCUUUUAAGUCAGGGGUGAAAUCCUGGAGCUCAACUCCAGAACUGCCUUUGAUACUGAAGAUCUUGAGUUCGGGAGAGGUGAGUGGAACUGCGAGUGUAGAGGUGAAAUUCGUAGAUAUUCGCAAGAACACCAGUGGCGAAGGCGGCUCACUGGCCCGAUACUGACGCUGAGGCACGAAAGCGUGGGGAGCAAACAGG